GACGAACGCUGGCGGCGUGCUUAACACAUGCAAGUCGAACGGAAAGGCCCUGCUUUUGUGGGGUGCUCGAGUGGCGAACGGGUGAGUAACACGUGAGUAACCUGCCCUUGACUUUGGGAUAACUUCAGGAAACUGGGGCUAAUACCGGAUAGGAGCUCCUGCUGCAUGGUGGGGGUUGGAAAGUUUCGGCGGUUGGGGAUGGACUCGCGGCUUAUCAGCUUGUUGGUGGGGUAGUGGCUUACCAAGGCUUUGACGGGUAGCCGGCCUGAGAGGGUGACCGGCCACAGUGGGACUGAGACAGGGCCCCGACCCAUACGGGAGGGAGCAGUGGGGAAUAUUGCACAAUGGGCGGAAGCCUGAUGCAGCAACGCCGCGUGCGGGAGGACGGCCUUCGGGUUGUAAACCGAUUUCGCCUGUGACGAAGCGGGAGUGACGGUAAUGGGUAAAGAAGCACCGGCUAACUACGUG
rnacentral:rRNA from 1 species